rnacentral:rRNA from 1 species
CCAGGUAAAUCCGGUUCACUUUAACACUGAGGCGUGACGACGAGGCACUACGGUGCUGAAGCAACAAAUGCCCUGCUUCCAGGAAAAGCCUCUAAGCAUCAGGUAACAUCAAAUCGUACCCCAAACCGACACAGGUGGUCAGGUAGAGAAUACCAAGGCGCUUGAGAGAACUCGGGUGAAGGAACUAGGCAAAAUGGUGCCGUAACUUCGGGAGAAGGCACGCUGACACGUAGGUGAAGUGAUUUACUCAUGGAGCUGAAGUCAGUCGAAGAUACCAGCUGGCUGCAACUGUUUAUUAAAAACACAGCACUGUGCAAACACGAAAGUGGACGUAUACGGUGUGACGCCUGCCCGGUGCCGGAAGGUUAAUUGAUGGGGUCAGCGCAAGCGAAGCUCCUGAUCGAAGCCCCGGUAAACGGCGGCCGUAACUAUAACGGUCCUAAGGUAGCGAAAUUCCUUGUCGGGUAAGUUCCGACCUGCACGAAUGGCGUAAUGAUGGCCAGGCUGUCUCCACCCGAGACUCAGUGAAAUUGAACUCGCUGUGAAGAUGCAGUGUACCCGCGGCAAGACGGAAAGACCCCGUGAACCUUUACUAUAGCUUGACACUGAACAUUGAGCCUUGAUGUGUAGGAUAGGUGGGAGGCUUUGAAGCGUGGACGCCAGUCUGCGUGGAGCCGACCUUGAAAUACCACCCUUUAAUGUUUGAUGUUCUAACGUGGACCCGUGAUCCGGGUUGCGGACAGUGUCUGGUGGGUAGUUUGACUGGGGCGGUCUCCUCCUAAAGAGUAACGGAGGAGCACGAAGGUUGGCUAAUCCUGGUCGGACAUCAGGAGGUUAGUGCAAUGGCAUAAGCCAGCUUGACUGCGAGCGUGACGGCGCGAGCAGGUGCGAAAGCAGGUCAUAGUGAUCCGGUGGUUCUGAAUGGAAGGGCCAUCGCUCAACGGAUAAAAGGUACUCCGGGGAUAACAGGCUGAUACCGCCCAAGAGUUCAUAUCGACGGCGGUGUUUGGCACCUCGAUGUCGGCUCAUCACAUCCUGGGGCUGAAGUAGGUCCCAAGGGUAUGGCUGUUCGCCAUUUAAAGUGGUACGCGAGCUGGGUUUAGAACGUCGUGAGACAGUUCGGUCCCUAUCUGCCGUGGGCGCUGGAGAACUGAGGGGGGCUGCUCCUAGUACGAGAGGACCGGAGUGGACGCAUCACUGGUGUUCGGGUUGUCAUGCCAAUGGCACUGCCCGGUAGCUAAAUGCGGAAGAGAUAAGUGCUGAAAGCAUCUAAGCACGAAACUUGCCCCGA